rnacentral:tRNA from 1 species
AGGAUUUUAGUUAAUAAUAACAUUUAAAUUGCAAUUAAAAAUUACUAAAAUAGUAAAUCUUA